rnacentral:rRNA from 1 species
UAAUGCGUGACCAACCUGCCCCAUGCUCCAGAAUAGCUCUUGGAAACGGGUGGUAAUGCUGGAUGCUCCAACUUGACGCAUGUCUUGUUGGGAAAGUGUUUAGUGGCAUGGGAUGGGGUCGCGUCCUAUCAGCUUGUAGGCGGGGUAAUGGCCCACCUAGGCUUCGACGGGUAGCCGGCCUGAGAGGGCGGACGGCCACAUUGGGACUGAGAUACGGCCCAGACUCCUACGGGAGGCAGCAUU